AAAUUGAAGAGUUUGAUCAUGGCUCAGAUUGAACGCUGGCGGCAGGCCUAACACAUGCAAGUCGAACGGUAACAGGAAGCAGCUUGCUGCUUUGCUGACGAGUGGCGGACGGGUGAGUAAUGUCUGGGAAACUGCCUGAUGGAGGGGGAUAACUACUGGAAACGGUGGCUAAUACCGCAUAACGUCGCAAGACCAAAGAGGGGGACCUUCGGGCCUCUUGCCAUCAGAUGUGCCCAGAUGGGAUUAGCUAGUUGGUGAGGUAACGGCUCACCAAGGCGACGAUCCCUAGCUGGUCUGAGAGGAUG
rnacentral:rRNA from 4 species